rnacentral:tRNA from 1 species
GUAUGAUUAGCUCAGCUGGGAGAGCACCUCCCUUACAAGGAGGGGGUCGGCGGUUCGAUCCCGUCAUCACCCACCA